CCUACGGGUGGCAGCAGUGGGGAAUAUUGGACAAUGGGGGCAACCCUGAUCCAGCCAUGCCGCGUGUGUGAAGAAGGCCCUCGGGUUGUAAAGCACUUUCAGUGAGGAAGAACGCCUGGUGGUUAAUACCCAUCAGGAAAGACAUCACUCACAGAAGAAGCACCGGCUAACUCCGUGCCAGCAGCCGCGGUAAUACGGAGGGUGCGAGCGUUAAUCGGAAUUACUGGGCGUAAAGCGCGCGUAGGUGGCUUGAUAAGCCGGUUGUGAAAGCCCCGGGCUCAACCUGGGAACGGCAUCCGGAACUGUCAAGCUAGAGUGCAGGAGAGGAAGGUAGAAUUCCCGGUGUAGCGGUGAAAUGCGUAGAGAUCGGGAGGAAUGCCAGUGGCGAAGGCGGCCUUCUGGACUGACACUGACACUGAGGUGCGAAAGCGUGGGUAGCAAACAGGAUUAGAUACCCCAGUAGUC
rnacentral:rRNA from 1 species